rnacentral:rRNA from 1 species
CAGCAGCCGCCGCGGUAAUACAGAGGGUGCGAGCGUUAAUCGGAUUUACUGGGCGUAAAGCGUGCGUAGGCGGCUUCUUAAGUCGGAUGUGAAAUCCCUGAGCUUAACUUAGGAAUUGCAUUCGAUACUGGGAAGCUAGAGUAUGGGAGAGGAUGGUAGAAUUCCAGGUGUAGCGGUGAAAUGCGUAGAGAUCUGGAGGAAUACCGAUGGCGAAGGCAGCCAUCUGGCCUAAUACUGACGCUGAGGUACGAAAGCAUGGGGAGCAAACAGGAUUAGAUACCCCAGUAGUCCCUGUCUCUUAUAA